rnacentral:rRNA from 1 species
GACGAACGCUGGCGGCGUGCUUAACACAUGCAAGUCGAACGGAAAGGCCUCUUUCGGGGGGUACUCGAGUGGCGAACGGGUGAGUAACACGUGAGUAACCUGCCCUUGACUUUGGGAUAACUUCAGGAAACUGGGGCUAAUACCGGAUAGGAGCUCCUGCUGCAUGGUGGGGGUUGGAAAGUUUCGGCGGUUGGGGAUGGACUCGCGGCUUAUCAGCUUGUUGGUGGGGGAGUGGCUUACCAAGGCUUUGACGGGUAGCCGGCCUGAGAGGGUGACCGGCCACAUUGGGACUGAGAUACGGCCCAGACUCCUACGGGAGGCAGCAGUGGGGAAUAUUGCACAAUGGGUGGAAGCCUGAUGCAGCAACGCCGGGUGCGGGAUGACGGCCUUCGGGUUGUAAACCGCUUUCGCUCAUGACGAAGCUUUGUGUGACGGUAGUGGGUAAAGAAGCACCGGCUAACUACGUG